UCUCCGUUGGUGAACCAGCGGAGGGAUCAUUACAGAGUUCAUGCCCUCACGGGUAGAUCUCCCACCCUUGAAUAUUAUACCUUCGUUGCUUUGGCAGGCCGUGGAAACACCAGAGGCUCCGGCUGAUGCGUGCCUGCCAGAGGAAACAAACUCUGUUUUUAGUGAUGUCUGAGUACUAUAUAAUAGUUAAAACUUUCAACAACGGAUCUCUUGGUUCUG
rnacentral:misc_RNA from 1 species